UAACACGUAGGCAACCUGCCUGCAAGACCGGGAUAACCCACGGAAACGUGAGCUAAUACCGGAUAUCUCAUUUCCUCUCCUGAGGGGAUGAUGAAAGACGGAGCAAUCUGUCACUUGCGGAUGGGCCUGCGGCGCAUUAGCUAGUUGGUGAGGUAACGGCUCACCAAGGCGACGAUGCGUAGCCGACCUGAGAGGGUGAACGGCCACACUGGGACUGAGACACGGCCCAGACUCCUACGGGAGGCAGCAGUAGGGAAUCUUCCGCAAUGGGCGAAAGCCUGACGGAGCAACGCCGCGUGAGUGAUGAAGGUUUUCGGAUCGUAAAGCUCUGUUGCCAGGGAAGAACGUCCGGUAGAGUAACUGCUAUCGGAGUGACGGUACCUGAGAAGAAAGCCCCGGCUAACUACGUGCCAGCAGCCGCGGUAAUACGUAGGGGGCAAGCGUUGUCCGGAAUUAUUGGGCGUAAAGCGCGCGCAGGCGGUCAUUUAAGUCUGGUGUUUAAGGCCAAGGCUCAACCUUGGUUCGCACUGGAAACUGGGUGACUUGAGUGCAGAAGAGGAGAGUGGAAUUCCACGUGUAGCGGUGAAAUGCGUAG
rnacentral:rRNA from 1 species